UGUGGGGGGCGGGCGGUUUGGCGAGGGGAGGACGGCACGAGGUUUGGUCAGACAUUAGAGGACAUCCCCAACCACUUCAAAGCUAAAAAUGAAAUGCCUUUGGAUGCUCAUUGUACUUGCCAGCAUCAUCAAAUUAGGGGGCUGCCUGCAGUGCUUUCAGAACAGCCUAACUCCUUUAAAUUGCAAGAUGAAAACCAUCUCCUGUGAAGAUACUGAACAUUGCUUCAAAAGGGUGGGUAAAUUAAAGAAGAGUGUGUUUACAAGUCGCGGAUGCAUUCUGCCUGAUAUUUGCAAGAAAAGUGUUACAAACACAUUUGCUGGAUUGUCGGUCACUCUGAAAACGAUGUGCUGUACGAAAGAACUGUGUAAUGGAGGCAAGGAUAUGACGGCACCUCUUGCACUGAGCUCUGUGCUGCUGCUUGGCUGGUUCUUGUGUGUUAACAUGUAAUCAUGACUACUGUAAACCCUCGUUAUAUUGGAACAUCGGGGAGGGGGAAUGAUGCCUGUUAUUGCUGGUUGUCUGCCACAACUGAGUAAGGUAUUAUCAUGUGUAAGAAGCAACUGCAGAUGCUGGUUUAAACCUAAGGUAGACACAAAAUGCUGGAGUAACUCAGCGGGACAGGCAGCAUCUCUGCAGAGAAGGAAUGCGUGACGUUUCGGGUCGAGACCCUUCUUUAGACUAUCAAAAGACAAUAGGUGCAGGAGUAGGCCAUUCGGCCCUUCGAGCCAGCACCACCAUUCAAUGUGAUCAUGGCUGAUCAUCCACAAUCUGUACCCCGUUCCUGCCUUCUCCCCAUAUCCCCUGACUCCGCUAUCUUUAAGAGCCCUAUCUAGCUCUCUCUUGAAAGUAUCUAGAGAACCAGCCUCCACCGCCCUCUGAGGCAAAGAAUUGCACAGACUCACAACUGUGUGAAAAAAUGUUUCCUCAUCUCUGUUCUAAAUGGCUUUCCCCUUAUUCUUAAACUGUGGCCCCUAGUUCUGGACUCCCCCAACAUCGGGAACAUGUUUCCUGCCUCUAGCGUGUCCAAACCCUUAAUAAUCUUAAAGGUUUCAAUAAGAUAUCUUCUCAUCCUUCUAAUUUCCAGAGUAUACAAGCCCAGCCGCUUCAUUCUCUUGGCAUAUGACAGUCCCGCCAUCCCGGGAAUUAACCUUGUAAACCUACGCUGCACUCCCUCAAUAGCAAGAAUGUCCUUCCGUAAAUUAUCAUUGUGUGUAGUUGAACCAAAGAAAAGCAGAUGAUGGUUAAUCCACAACAAGAGACACAGAAUGUUGAUGUAUCUCAGCAGAAGAAGGUUCUCGACCCGAAAUGUCACCCAUUCCUUUUCUACAGAGGAUGUUGUCCGACCCACUGAUUUACUCCAGCUUUUUGUGUCUAUCUUCAGUUUAAAUUAGCAUCUGCAGUUCCUUCCCACACAGAUCAGACAGCAUCGUUGGAGCACAUGCAAGGGUGACGUCGGGACCCUUCUUCAGAAUGAUUCAGUGAGCUCAGAUGCUCCAGCCUUAUCCACAUACUCUGGAAUUGUCUUUGUGUGUAACAAAUGGCUACAGUUGACAAUCUUAAGUACUUUAAGGUUGUUUUCUGAUGUUACAUGUCAUCAUAAUAUAACCAGUGAGUUCUAAAUUACUGCUUGUAUUUAAUAACUUUCUGCUUCUAAUUGUAAUUCCCCAUGUCUGUGUUUGGCUGUACAAUUUUACAUAAAAUUGUUUUAUU